CAAACCAAAGCUGGCGACCGGCGCACGGGUGAGUAACACGUAUCCAACCUGCCUCAUACUCGGGGAUAGCCUUUCGAAAGAAAGAUUAAUAUCCGAUAGCAUAUAUUUCCCGCAUGGGUUUUAUAUUAAAGAAAUUCGGUAUGAGAUGGGGAUGCGUUCCAUUAGUUUGUUGGGGGGUAACGGCCCACCAAGACUACGAUGGAUAGGGGUUCUGAGAGGAAGGUCCCCCACAUUGGAACUGAGACACGGCCCAA
rnacentral:rRNA from 1 species